UCGGGAAUCUUCGGCAAUGGACGAAAGUCUGACCGAGCAACGCCGCGUGAGUGAAGAAGGUUUUCGGAUCGUAAAACUCUGUUGUUAGAGAAGAACAAGGACGUUAGUAACUGAACGUCCCCUGACGGUAUCUAACCAGAAAGCCACGGCUAACUACGUGCCAGCAGCCGCGGUAAUACGUAGGUGGCAAGCGUUGUCCGGAUUUAUUGGGCGUAAAGCGAGCGCAGGCGGUUUCUUAAGUCUGAUGUGAAAGCCCCCGGCUCAACCGGGGAGAGUCAUUGGAAACUGGGAGACUUGAGUGCAGAAGAGGAGAGUGGAAUUCCAUGUGUAGCGGUGACAUGCAUAGAUAUAAGGAGGAACACCAGUGGGGAAGGCGGCUCUCUGGUCUGUGACUGACGCGGAGGCUCGAAAGCGGGGGGAGCAAACAGG
rnacentral:rRNA from 1 species